rnacentral:rRNA from 1 species
UACGGAGGGUGCAAGCGUUAUCCGGAUUCACUGGGUUUAAAGGGUGCGUAGGAGGGCAGGUAAGUCAGUGGUGAAAUCUCCGAGCUUAACUUGGAAACUGCCGUUGAUACUAUCUGUCUUGAAUAUUGUGGAGGUGAGCGGAAUAUGUCAUGUAGCGGUGAAAUGCUUAGAUAUGACAUAGAACACCGAUUGCGAAGGCAGCUCGCUACACAUAUAUUGACCCUGAGGCACGAAAGCGUGGGGAUCAAACAGG